GAUUAACGCUAGCGGCAGGCAUAAUACAUGCAAGUUGAACGGCAGCACAGGUAGCAAUACUGGGUGGCGAGUGGCGCACGGAUGCGUAACACGUAUGCAACCUACCCUAUACAGGCGAAUAACCUUUAGAAAUGAGGGCUAAUACGCCGUAGUAUUACAGAUGGGCAUCUAUUUGUAAUUAAAGAUUUAUCGGUAUAGGAUGGGCAUGCGUCCCAUUAGUUAGUUGGUAAGGUAACGGCUUACCAAGACGAUGAUGGGUAGGGGAUCUGAGAGGACUUACCCCCACACUGGUACUGAGACACGGACCAGACUCCUACGGGAGGCAGCAGUAAGGAAUAUUGGGCAAUGGCCGCGAGGCUGACCCAGCCAUGCCGCGUGCAGGAAGACGGCCUUAUGGGUUGUAAACUGCUUUUAUACGGGAAUAAUAGAGUGUACGCGUACAUUUAUGCAAGUAUCGUAUGAAUAAGCAUCGGCUAACUCCGUG
rnacentral:rRNA from 1 species